UGCUUUCGUGCCCGCUAUUGUUCACCUGCGCCCUCUCUCUGUCUCAAGUCCCUCCUUUUCCAGCGUCUCUCACAGGUUCUCUAUCGUCAUCCUCUCCGGCGCCUCCCAACUCAUCAUUCUCUUCGGCGCCGACAGCUGCUGCUCCUUCACCGGCUGAAGCUUAUGAUUUGAGGUACAUCUGUUUGAUCAGAUGGAUGAAAGGACACUCGAUGCGAUUUGUGAAAGGCUCAAACCCACCUUGUGCAUUGAAGGAAUGUUCUUAGUUCGUGAAGGUGACCCGGUCAAUGAGAUGCUCUUCAUCAUCCGAGGCCACCUCGACUCUUACACUACCAAUGGGGGCCGCACCGGGUUCUUCAACUCGUGCCGCAUCAGUCCGGGAGAUUUAUGUGGUGAAGAAUUGCUCACAUGGGCCCUGGACCCAAGCCCCUAGCAUUAUCUUACCAUCAUUGAUCCACUCAGUCAAAACCCUCUCCAAAGUGGAGGCUUUCGCGCUAAGGGCAGAUGACUUGAAAUUUGUGGCGUCGCUCAGUCAAACAUGUCAAUGUGAUGAAGUUAAAUAACAAUGAACUAUAUUACUUCAUUAUUGUGAUGUCAUAUAUGAAAUGGUCUAUGUAGAGAUCUAUAAAGACAUUCUUCUUUUUGCAGGCUCUUAUUGUACAAACUUUACUUACAAAA